UACGUAGGCAGCAAGCGUUGUUCGGAGUUACUGGGCGUAAAGGGUGUGUAGGCGGUUCUCUAAGUUUGGUGUGAAAUCUCCCGGCUCAACUGGGAGGGUGCGCCGAAAACUGGGGGGCUAGAGUACUGGAUGGGAGAGUGGAAUUCCUGGUGUAGCGGUGAAAUGCGUAGAUAUCAGGAGGAACACCUGUGGUGUAGACGGCUCUCUGGACAGUAACUGACGCUGAGACACGAAAGCGUGGGUAGCAAACAGG
rnacentral:rRNA from 1 species